UGGUGUGUGCCAGCUAGCUAGCAGUCUCAUGAGGCUCUCUUUCUGCUUUUUUCCCUCAAAGACUUUGAACAGGCCUAAACUGCAGCGGAUGAGCCCUGUUUCAUGGUGUACUUUGGCCUGUGGCCGUCAGUGCUUGCAUGUAUUAUAAGUUCUCUGGCAAUCACUCCUUGGGUGCUGGGGACUCCUAAAAGGGCAGAUGAAGUGGCUCCAGUCAAUUCUUAUCCCCCUUUCCGUUGUACCAGGAGGGCUUUUUGCAUCUUAACAUUAGUACUGAUGCUGAUCCCAGCCUUGAAGAAAUAAUUCAUACACUGCUGUAUGGAUGUGAGUAACUGUGAAGAUAAAGGGCAUGUCUUGACAUCAUAGGUGUCCUCUGUGGCCUUAUGGGCUGAUAGUGUAAGCUUCAACACUUGGUAUGUUCCGUCAUUCCCAGGACCUGUCACGUGUCAUGAUCCUUGCUUAGAAACUAGAGACAGCAGCCAUUGCAGAGGAGAGGUUAAGUUUCUUCUCCAUCGAGUCGAAGAGCAAGCCGUGUAAGAGCUCAGUGAAGUCAGUGAGAGUGUUUCCUAUCAGAUUCAAUUUCCUGAGAGCCCAUCUGUUACAUCUCAGAGGAGAACAUAAGAGGUGGUUUGGAUAUGUUCAUCCUGGAAGAAACACUGUUCUUACUGAACGAAAAAUGAGAAUUGAGUAGAACAAAUUCACACUUGGAUUACAUGAGUUUUAUCCACAAGGACAUUUCAUCCUGGUUUUCAGACAUGGUGAAGUAGAGGUCAGGGGCUUGCUCUCUAUCUGUCAGCUGACUUGUCAAAUGCAUCUUCCUCUUCCUAAAAUAAUUUCUGAAGGUAUUGACCAAUUGUCAGAUUGGAAAAUAAAAUAAGGUUCCCAAAGGUGCUAGAUUUCCUAUUCUGUGAUUGCUGAAACUAGAAAUUGCAACAGUACUUUCUCCCUGUUGAGAGGGGAGCCUCUCCCUAUGUCUAACCUCUCCCCUCCUCUAUCUUGUUUGGUAUUUUGUCAGCCAGCUGGCUGGUCAUUGUACAACUGCUAGACCCCUUAUAGAAUGUGUCAGACUAUACUGUCCAGUGGGGAAUAUCAUAGGCUUCCUGACAAGUGUGCUUACAUUCUAAAUGGAUGGCUUGUAAUGUGAAUUGGGUAGAAAACAUUAUGUUUUCUGAUAGAACACAUCUUUUCCUGUAAUAUGCAACAGUGUAGUUAUUUCAGGUAAGAUUUUUUUUUAAGAGGACUGAUGGUGUACUUAAAGCAUGGGAUACUGAAUAGAUGUCUUUUAAUUAGUUACAUAUAUAUAAAAAAUAAUGUUCCAUUACUAGUACAGAAUAUAUUAGCUGUUCUGUAACAUAAACAAUAAAGUCUGUUAGGAGUGAGGCAAAUGCUUUCUGUGGAGCAUUAUUUAUAGGAAAAAUACUAUCCCAAAAGCAAUUGAUUAACUCUUCGUAAUUUUACAUCCUUUAAUAUGUUGCAUUUUGACUGUUCAGCACUGAAGAUGGAUUCUGUUACUAUGUCCCCAAAUGCCUUUUUUUUUUCCUUUUUGAACUAAAGCGAUAUCCCACAUCAUGUUUCUGUAGGUAGCAAACCCUACAAAAGCAAUACCCUGUGUCAUGUUUUGUAGAUUUGCUUUGGAUUUUUUUUUUUCUUAUUACAUUUUCAGGUUUUUCAGAGGUUCUGCAACCUGCUUUUUCCUGUUUGCAUUUCUGAGGCAAUGUUGUUCUGUUCCAGAUUUUGUUAAUAAAAUAGGUUCACAGUUACACACAUAGUAGGACAAAGAAUUGUAUUUAAUCACAUCAGAAAACAUUGAUAUGGUAUUCAAUAGAUAUAAAAUUAAGAGAGUAAAAUAAACAUUGGGGUAUUGAAUAAGAAUAUCAACUCUCAACCUUUAGAUUCCUUACUGGGGUGAUUUCCUUGCCUCUCUUUGCUUAGGGGACAGUAAUAGCAAUGGGCUUCACAGCUGUUGUCAACAAUUAUUAUAAUAAUUGAAAUUGUAUAAGCUUACUCCAGUAGUGAAUGUAGUUCUGCUUUAUCUUUGUGAAGGUUUAUUGUACAUUAUGCUGAAAAAGAAUUGUUUGAGAUCCUAGAACUAUCUGCUAACUCCUUUUAAACUGCAUGAUAGAAUCUGUGAAGAUGUUCUGUUUAUUCUUGCAAACAUGAUAUUACUGUUACUCUUCGUGUUUUGGUUUUUUGUUUUUGUUUUUUUUUUUUUGCAAUUGGAUUAUCUAUGGUACUUGAAACAUUUUUGUUAUAUUUCAUAAUAUCUUUUCUCAUAGGGCAUGUAUGUAAUGUUAAGAUAUAUUCAGUGGGUAUCUUUUACUCAUUUAACAAAAUUUGACUUAAACC